rnacentral:sRNA from 1 species
UGUGUGUGAUGGGCUCGGCGUAUGCGA